CAGCCGUAAACUAUGCUCGCUAGGUGUCAGGCAUGGCGCGACCGUGUCUGGUGCCGCAGGGAAGCCGUGAAGCGAGCCACCUGGGAAGUACGGCCGCAAGGCUGAAACCUAAAGGAAUUGGUGGGGGAGCACAACAACGGGUGGAGCCUGCGGUUUAAUUGGACUCAACGCCGGACAACUCACCGGGAACGACAGCAAUAUGUAGGCCAGGCUGAAGACCUUGCCUGAAUCGCUGAGAGGAGGUGCAUGGCGUAGACGUCU
rnacentral:rRNA from 1 species